rnacentral:rRNA from 1 species
UAUGCAUGCAAGUCGAGCGAAGCUUUUCAGUAGUUUACUACAGAAAAUGACUGAGCGGCGAACGGGUGAGUAACGCGUGAGCAGUCUACCUUAGUUACUGGGAUAGCCCGAGGAAACUCGGAUUAAUACCAGAUAAUCUUAUUACAUCACAUGAUAUUUUAAGUAAAGGUCAGCCGAACUAAGAUGAGCUCGCGUUCUAUCAGCUUGUUGGUGGGGUAAAAGCCUACCAAGGCUACGACGGAUAGCUGGUCUGAGAGGACGAUCAGCCACACUGGGACUGAGACACGGCCCAGACUCCUACGGGAGGCUGCAGCAGGGAAUAUUGCGCAAUGAGCGAAAGCUUGACGCAGCGACACCGCGUGUGGGAUGACGGUUCUAGGAUUGUAAACCACUUUCAGGAGGGAAGAAAAUGACGGUACCUCCACAAGAAGCCCCGGCCAACUACGUGCCAGCAGCCGCGGUAAUACGUAGGGGGCGAGCGUUGUCCGGAUUUAUUGGGCGUAAAGAGCUCGUAGGCGGUUCAACAAGUCGGUCGUGAAAGUUCAGGGCUUAACCCUGAAAUGUCGAUCGAUACUGUUGUGACUAGGAUAUGGUAGAGGUGAGUGGAAUUCCGAGUGUAGCGGUGAAAUGCGUAGAUAUUCGGAGGAACACCAAUAGCGAAGGCAGCUCACUGGACCACUAUCGACGCUGAGGAGCGAACGCUAGGGGAGCAAACAGGAUUAGAUACCCUGGUAGUCCUAGCUGUAAACGAUGGAUACUAGAUGUAGGAAUUGGAUUGACGAUUUCUGUAUCGUAGCUAACGCGUUAAGUAUCCCGCCUGGGGAGUACGGUCGCAAGACUAAAACUCAAAGGAAUUGACGGGACCCCGCACAAGCGGCGGAGCAUGCGGCUUAAUUCGAUGAUACCCGUAGAAC